AAAAUAUUUUUUAAAAACCCAAUAAAAACAAUAUAACAAUAAAAACUAAUGUAAAUAAAACAAUAUAGUAUUAACUAUUUACAUAGUAUUUACAUUGUAUUAGGUGUUGAAAGUAAUAUAAAGAGGAUUUAAAGUAUAUGGAAGGAUAUGUAUAAGUUAUGUGCAAAUACUGCACCAUUUUAUAUCAGCGAUUUGAGCAUCUGUGGAUUUGAUAUCUAUGGGGGUCCUGGAACCAAGCCCCCAUAGAUACGGAAGGACAAUUCUAUCACUCAGAGAUUCUGAAUUCUGGACUUUGAGCUCAAUGCCAUGACUGAGGAAGACCACGGGGUUUUCUCUCUUAGAGGGGAGGAAUCCUUGAUAUUCUUCAUUCCAAUUGUUCACCUCUACUGUAGGGCUCAGUAAACACUUAAGGAAGUUGCCGUGCACUGCAGCCUGCCGGAGACAUGAAGGAAUGUACGGGAGGAUAAUCGCAACAUCAUCAACCCAAUUCUCCAAGUAAUUUGCCAUGGGACAGGCACACCCCAUGUGUUUGGGAAGACAAUGGGAAGGUUCUGUUUUCUGCUCCAAGACUGAUUCAACCAGUUGGAUCUGGAAGGGGAUAAAGGGCUGUGUGGCUGCUUGAUUUUCAUUGUCUAGUGGCAGCCAAAAUUGGAAAAGAGAGAAGUGCAGACUUUAAAGACAAGCAGCGACAGCUCAUCAGCAGUCUAACAACACGACAGAUGACAGGCCCAGAGGCACACCCAGGGCCGCCAGCCCAUCACCCUGUGCAGGAUGUCAAAGAGCAGCUGCAGCAAAGGAAGAAGAUCAUCCAGACUUAAAUGUUUGGGCCUUGCUAAGACCAUAGAGUCUUUGUGCUUUGGAAACAGUCCUCCAUACAAAGACCCCUUCCUAGAAAAGAGUGGAAAGAAACCAAGGUGGAAUGGAUACAACAGAAAGGAGACCAUGCUAAUAUUCUUGUGCAAUGCUUCCUGGGCAGAAAUUAUGUCAUAAAGGAUGUUCAAUUCUGCAAAGCUAUGUCUCUCUCUGCGGUUUGCCUCAGAGGAGGGGCGUUUCAUAGCUGUAGUGAGUAAGGGGGCCCUUGCUGACGUUCAUCAGAUAUGCCAAGGCACAGGAAGAAAGCAUUGAGGUCACAGGGCAGCUCAGGUCCGCCUGUGGUAAUUGAAAACAGGUGACGAGAUUGGGUUGAUUUUAUUUUGGAAAAGUAAAUUAGUGCUGCACCACUCGGACAUGGCUAAUUCAUGAAGCCUCUGGUUUGUAUUAGACACCCAACAUGCCUUUCAGAAAGAAAUGACACAACAAUUAAUGUGUCAAACAAUAAUGUGCCACUCGGAGAAAGAUAAUUGUACCCAUCGUCAGGUAGUUAUUAGGUCGAACGAAUGCUCAUCCUUUCAAAGGCAACAGCGUCUAUUCACUCUGGCAUCCUACUGUAAGUACAGUAUUGUGUUCAUAAUCACACAGACUGAAGCCAGGAACACUGGGUUUUAUCUGAUUUUUCUCCAUUUGGAAUUGUACUCCGAUGAUUCCCUAAACAGCAAACUCAGUCAUGUGAAACACAAAUGAGUGUGAUGAAAGACAGAUUGUUAUACUGCAGGAGAGGCUUUCUGUGCUUUUCACAUAAUAUAGAGCAUGAGGACUGUUCCCAAGAAGGUUUAAGCAUAUGUAACAAAAACUACCAGACCUGAAUUUGCUCAUGUGUAAAUGAUAGUCUUUCCUUCUGGCGAUUUAAUGCAUGAGGACAUCAAUCAGUCACAUCAUGGCCUCAGAAGUCCUUGUUCAAUUUCUGAUGUCAUAACUUACUCGAUGUGGGAUUUGGACAAGUCAUUUAACUUCACCGCAAUUCUGUUUCCCUCAUUUGAAAAAUAGAAAUAGAAGAGCCUGCUGUAUAUUUAGAUCCACAUCUGUUGGGAGGUCAAAGAAGAAAGAAUAUGAAAAGUUGUUUGUAAAUAUAAAGAACCAUGUAAAUAUAAGACAUUGUUUUAUUAAUGCUCCAGAUCAAUUAACGUUCAGUGAAUGAUAAAAUGUGACAUCUUUUCAACAGAGACAGUUUUACUUAAGAAAAACUAGGCAAUGGCUUCUGUCCUUACAAAUGAAAAACUUCAUAAUAAAUGGGGGCUAUCAAGACCACCUGGCCAAAACUGAACUAAAUACUCACGUCAUUCAACCAAGAAUGAGGAACUGAAAUACAUUAUUAUAUAUGCAUAUGCUUCUGUUUCAUCUACUUGGGCAUGCUUGUGAUGAGAUAUGAAAAAUUAGCCAUCUUUAGAAGGAAAGAAAUAUUGUAUUUGGGGGUAUUUCUUCUGUACAGACAAUUGGCCUGGUUAUUGUCUAAAGGUAUUUAAAAUUAAUAAAAUGCAAUUUUAUGCUACA
rnacentral:lncRNA from 1 species